rnacentral:lncRNA from 1 species
GUCUUCCCACCAAAGCCUUUUCCUCCACCACUUCCAGUCUACAAGAAGCCACUCCCACCUCCAGUUCCAAUCUACAAGCCAGAGCCAAAACCACCAGUCUUCAAGCCUCCUCCGGUCCCAAUCUACAAGAAGCCACUCCCACCUCCAGUUCCAAUCUACAAGCCAGAGCCAAAACCACCAGUCUUCAAGCCUCCUCCGGUCCCAAUCUACAAGCCAAAACCACCAGUCUUCAAGCCUCCUCCGAUCCCAAUCUACAAGAAGCCACUCCCACCUCCAGUUCCAAUCUACAAGCCAGAGCCAAAACCACCAGUCUUCAAGCCUCCUCCGGUCCCAAUCUACAAGAAGCCACUCCCACCUCCAGUUCCAAUCUACAAGCCAGAGCCAAAACCACCAGUUUUCAAGCCUCCUCCGGUCCCAAUCUACAAGCCAAAACCACCAGUCUUCAAGCCUCCUCCGGUCCCAAUCUAUAAGAAGCCACUCCCACCUCCAGUUCCAAUCUACAAGCCAGAGCCAAAACCACCAGUUUUCAAGCCUCCUCCGGUCCCAAUCUACAAGCCAAAACCACCAGUCUUCAAACCCCCUCCUGUUCCAGUCUACAAACCAAAGCCAAAACCACCAAUCUACAAGCCUCUCCCACCUCCUGUUCCCAUCUCCAAGCCUCUCCCUCCAAUCCCAAAGAUCCCUCCAUUUUAUAAGAAGCCAUUGCCCC